rnacentral:rRNA from 1 species
CGUCGCCGCGGUAAUACGGAGGGUGCAAGCGUUAAUCGGAAUUACUGGGCGUAAAGCGUGCGUAGGCGGUUCGUUAAGUCUGUUGUGAAAGCCCCGGGCUCAACCUGGGAAUGGCAAUGGAUACUGGCGAGCUAGAGUGUGUCAGAGGAUGGUGGAAUUCCCGGUGUAGCGGUGAAAUGCGUAGAGAUCGGGAGGAACAUCAGUGGCGAAGGCGGCCAUCUGGGACAACACUGACGCUGAGGCACGAAAGCGUGGGGAGCAAACAGGAUUAGAUACCCGAGUAGUCCCUGUCUCUUAUACA